AUUGAACGCUGGCGGCAGGCCUAACACAUGCAAGUCGAACGCGUGGUGGACGGGUGAGUAAUGUCUGGGAAACUGCCUGAUGGAGGGGGAUAACUACUGGAAACGGUAGCUAAUACCGCAUACCAUCAGAUGUGCCCAGAUGGGAUUAGCUUGUUGGUGGGGUAAAGGCUCACCAAGGCGACGAUCCCUAACUGGUAUGAGAGGAUGACCAGCCACACUGGAACUGAGAGACGGUCCAGACUCCAACGGGAGGCAUCAGUGGGGAAUAGUGGACAAUGGGCGCAAGCCUGAUGCAGCCAUGCCGCGUGUAUGAAGAAGGCCUUCGGGUUGUAAAGUACUUUCAGCGGGGAGGCGUUACCCGCAGAAGAAGCACCGGCUAACUCCGUGCCAGCAGCCGCGGUAAUUC
rnacentral:rRNA from 1 species